CCUACGGGAGGCAGCAGUGGGGAAUUUUGGACAAUGGGCGAAAGCCUGAUCCAGCAAUGCCGCGUGCAGGAUGAAGGCCUUCGGGUUGUAAACUGCUUUUGUACGGAACGAAAAAGCUUCUCCUAAUACGAGAGGCCCAUGACGGUACCGUAAGAAUAAGCACCGGCUAACUACGUGCCAGCAGCCGCGGUAAUACGUAGGGUGCGAGCGUUAAUCGGAAUUACUGGGCGUAAAGCGUGCGCAGGCGGUUAUGUAAGACAGAGGUGAAAUCCCCGGGCUCAGCCUGGUAACUGCAUUUGUGACUGCAGGGCUAGAGUACGGUAGAGGGGGAUGGAAUUCCGCGUGUAGCAGUGAAAUGCGUAGAUAUGCGGAGGAACACCGAUGGCGAAGGCAAUCCCCUGGACCUGUACUGACGCUCAUGCACGAAAGCGUGGGGAGCAAACAGGAUUAGAUCCCCUUGUAGU
rnacentral:rRNA from 1 species